UCCGCCACUUCCGCCAUAUGAGCAUAUUCCUUGAGAUUACUAUAGCGCACUAGAGAUGUUAGCAUCUAAAAAACGUUAUCAGGUGAAUUUAGAUGAUAUGUUAAAAUUUAUAUAUGCGCACAAAGCAGAUGGUAUACCUGAGUGGUAUAUGAAGGUGCGGAUGAUGCGUAGGCCUACACUUUUUCAAUGUGAAAUAAUGAUGCCUUUCCUUUUUCUUCAUCCCCAGUAUGAUCCAAUGCGUCUUGGUUAUGUGACUUUUGCGACUAUGGAGCAAAUUUUCCAAUUUGGUUAUCAAAGGGAUUUGUACCCGGAAAUAAUAUUUAACGCUAUAGAUUCUAUGUUACUUCGUGCUGCAGUAGAACACCCUCUUAUGUAUGAUUCUAUGUAAAUUGAGGGUGAUUUACAAAUUUUUUAAACAGUAAAAAUCGUUCUGGAGGUGGUGUAAAUGGAAACAUACCGGGCUCAUGCCCCGACGCUGCAGGUUCGAGUCCUGCCCUCCUCAACCUUUUAAAGAUAUUAUACAUAUGCUCAUAAUUCCAUUACGAGCAUAACACAAUUAUUGGGUUUUAUUCUGGCUCCGAGUGAACGCUGGUAACAUAUUUUAACACAUGCAAAUCGAACGAAAGCUGUAAAAAGCUUUAGUGGUGACCUGGUGAGUAGUAUAAGAGGAUCGAAAUGUGAGUUAGGCUAAAUACCUUCCUUCUCAGGUUUGAGAAAGAUUUAUAUCGCUUGCAAUAGAACUUUUACAGGAUUAGGUAGUUGUUGUAGUAAUUAUUCAACAAGCCGACGAUGCUUAGCUGGUUUGAGAGAAUGAUCAGCCACAUUGGGACUGAAAACGGCCCAAGUCUUUGAAAAGGGCAGCAGUGGAGAAUAUUUGACAAUGGGCGAAAGCUUGAUCGAGUAAUGUUACGUGGGUGAUAAGAAGGCUUAAUUGCCGUAAAACUCGUUUCGUCAAGGAUUAUAAUGCAAUCGUACUUGAAGGAGAAGCCCUGACUAACUUCGUGCCAGCAGUCGCGGUAAUACGGAGAGGGCUAGUGUUAUUCGCAUUGACUGGGUGUAAAGGGUGCGUAGGUGGCUUAUUAAGUUUCAAGAUAAAUCUUAAAUACAAAAUUUAAAUAUCUUUUAAUACUAAUAGGCUAGAGUUUAUUAGAAGAUAGCUGAACAUUAAGUGUAAAGGUGAAAUUUUCCGAUAUUUAAAGGACAUGCAAUAGGCGAAGGCUGCUAUCUAUUUUAAACUGACACUGAGGCACAAAAGCAUAGGGAUCAAACAGGAUUAGAGACCCUGGUAGUCUAUGCCCUGACCGAUGAAUAUUGAUUAUGUUGUAACAAAUGUAAUUAAGCUAACGCGUAAAUAUUCCACCUGAGUACUACGACCGCAAGGUUAAAACUCAAAGAAACUGACGGAAGAUUGUAUAAGCGGUGGAGUAUGUGGUUUAAUUUGAUAUAACGCAAAGAAUCUUACCAACCCUUGAAUACAAGUUUUCUUUUUUGACUAUGGGCUAUUUUUUUAAUCCGUAGUUGAUAGAAUAGGUUUAGGCAGAGUGAUAAAUCUGCUAACCUUAACUUGUACAGGUGCUGCAUGGUUGUCGGCAGUUCGUGUUGUGAAAUGUUUUGUUAAUUCAUUUAACGGACGUAACCUUCAGCUUUAUUUGUUUUAAAUAGAGCAAUUAUUAAUUUUAAAAUUGAUUGAAAGAAGAGGAAGUCAAAUCAUUAUGGCCUAUAUAGGUUGGGCUACACACGUACUACAAUGGUAAUUACAAUGUGAAGCAAAAACGCAAGUUCUAGCUAAUCAUUAAAAGUUAACCUUAGUUCUAAUUACUCUCUGUAAGUCGAGAGUAUGAAGUCGGAAUCGCUAGUAAUCGCAGAAUAGAAUGCUGCGGUGAAUACAUUCUCAAUCUUUGUACACACCGCCCGUCACGCCAUGGGAAUUGGUUUGGUUAGAAGUAAUACUGGCUAUAUUGUUAUCAAUUCUUGAAUGCUUUUUUCAGUUUGGUACAUUUUAGUACAGAUUGCGACAACUAGAUCAAGGACUGGGGUGAAGUCGUAACAAGGUAGCGGUAGGGGAACCUGCUGCUGGCCAAAAAUU
rnacentral:rRNA from 1 species